UAGCAAGCAAUUUUCCUUUGCUCUUCCAGAAGUGCUGCAAUGUAAACGACUAGACAGCUUUAUCACUAACCCAAUUCUUCUGUAUAUUUUUAUCACUUUGAAUAUUGCAUUUUAAAGUACAUCAUCUUAGUCUGGUCUGGGGAUGCUAUAAAACCUUUAUCACACACAUAGGCAUGUCACCUAUAGAUACACCAUAAGUGGCUUAAGCAACAUUUAUUUAUUUCUCACAGUUAUGGAGUCUGGGAAGUCCGAGAUGAAGCUGCCUGCAGAUCCAGCGUCUGGUGUGGGUCCCCUUUCUGGUUUGUAGAUGAUAAUGACCACGUGGCAGAGAGCAGAGAGGGAGUAGCUCUCUUUCCCUUGUUAUGUGGACACUAAUCUCAUCAAAGGGGUUCCACCCUCACAAACAAUUUACUUCUAAAAGGUCCCACUUCCCAGUGCUAUCACAUUAGAACUUCAGCAUAUAAAUUUGGAGGAAACACAAGCAUUCAUUCCAUGGUACACCCCUUCUGCUUGUGGAACCAAGGGGGCUGGUGCUGUAUGCUUUUGGAUAGUAGAUGGAGGAAAACAAGAAAAAGUGGUCAUGGUGCAAUAGUCAUCUGAUACUUUCAACAUUUACCAUGGCUUCCAUUCGCUCUACAGACUCCAGAUGAACUCGGUUUUCCAAUAUCAACUCUACCAAUCCCUACCCUCCAGUACCAGGACGUUCAGCAUAGCUGAAGGAUGUCACAAAAUUAUGAUGUAGUAUUCUCUAUGUUUUUCUUAAGUUGUAACUUCACUUAAGUUUCAUAGGUACUUAGCAAUUUUUGUAUACUUCUUGCUGCAAGAAUCAUGGUGACUGUUUCAAGGAUCUUACAAUUUGCUUUUGCCAUUUAGUAUAGUCUGCCUUAUGUUUUAUGUGUGUGUGUUUGUAUGUGUAUAAUUUCUGACUACAUCCUAGAGCUUGGUCCUAAGUUUUAAUAAAUUUUUACAGCCUCUAAGUCCAUAUUUAUUUAACAAAUAUUUAUUGAAUAAAUUAUAUGUGUUAGACAUGUUAUAAACAUAAAGAA
rnacentral:lncRNA from 10 species